UUACGCAGGAAGUUGUGCUCCAAUACGUA
rnacentral:sRNA from 1 species